GACGAACGCUGGCGGCGUGCUUAACACAUGCAAGUCGAACGAUGAAGCAAAGAAUCGAAGCUUCGGCAGAAAUUCAUUUCGGAUUAGUGGCAGACGGGUGAGUAACGCGUGAGCAACCUACCUCUUACAAAGGGAUAGCCUCGGGAAACCGGGAUUAAUACCAUAUAACAUUGCGACGAAGCAUUUCGAUGCAAUCAAAGCUACGGCGGUAAGAGAUGGGCUCGCGUCCCAUUAACCGGAUGGUGAGGUAACGGCUCACCAUAGUGACGAUGGGUAACCGGCCUGAGAGGGUGAACGGUCACACUGGAACUGAGACACGGUCCAGACUCCUACGGGAGGCAGCAGUGGGGAAUAUUGCACAAUGGAGGGAACUCUGAUGCAGCGACGCCGCGUGAGUGAUGAAGGAAUUCGUUGCGUAAAACUCUGUUCUAUGGGAAGAAAAGGACUGUACCAUAGGAGAAAGCUCCGGCUAAAUACGUG
rnacentral:rRNA from 1 species